rnacentral:rRNA from 1 species
UACGGAGGGUGCAAGCGUUAUCCGGAUUCACUGGGUUUAAAGGGUGCGUAGGUGGGCUAGUAAGUCCGUGGUGAAAUCUCCAAGCUUAACUUGGAAACUGCCGUGGAUACUAUUAGUCUUGAAUUAAGUUGAGGUGGGCGGAAUAAGUCAUGUAGCGGUGAAAUGCUUAGAUAUGACUUAGAACACCGAUUGCGAAGGCAGCUCGCUAAACUUAUAUUGACGCUGAGGCACGAAAGCGUGGGGAUCAAACAGG